UUUCAUUUCAGGUUUCGGACUGUAAACAACUCUAAAAAACGACAAAAAAAAUUGUUAAAAUUUAAAAAAGUCCAAGUUCUAUAUUUUUUUUCUAAAUUUGUAGUAAUGGAAUACGGAAAUGGUAUGCAAUACGAUGGUUAUGGCCAAGGCGGUGAGGGUUUUGAAAUGUUCUACAAUCAAACGAGCAGUGACCGCGGAUAUAGCCAGCAGCAGAGUUACUGCGAACAAGGGUCUUCAAAUUUUAAUGGCGGAUCCGCUUCGCUCGGAGGUCCUGGCUAUCGCAGUCCCUUACGAUACACAAAAAUGCUUCGUGAAAUGAACUCUCGAAACGGGCUUUACUCUCCAAUGGAACAGCAACGGAGCAGUGGGCAAGGCGAUUAUUACAAUACCUUGCCUGGCCUUGGCGGCUCAGAAGGUCAAGCUUACCAAUCUCGAGGUAAUGGAAACUCGUACUUCUAAAUAAUUAAGCCUAUACAGUUCGUCGAAAUUAUUGUUCGAUUGAUUACAUUCCGAUUAAUCACAGGGCUGUCUAGUAAUGUCCAAUCCUCCUUGGCCCACUGGGCCAGGUCGCAACAGUGGGCCUUUUGGGAUCUUCGUCAUCUGAGAUCUAUAUCACCGAGGCGUUUCCUUCGGUCUCCCUCAGCGUCGGUAGUGCCUCCAUUGCCGGAGACAGCCAUGCCCUCGUCCUCCUAUACCGCUCCGAGGGAAUUUCCGGGGGGCGAGGAUUUGCGCCCCAGUCGUGGGGCUUGGUGGCAAAAACGGAAGGACAAGCGGAGAUCGAAGUCAAUUACGACACUGUCAAACGCACUCUGCAAAGUAAGAGGCAACCCUUUCUACCCAAAUCUCCAACUUCCGCAGUGGACGUACUUGAAGCAUUUAAAGAUGAAAACAUCAUGAGUCGUUUUGGGAUGACCCAGGGAAGUUCUCCGAAUGUUUUUUUAAAAAAACUUUACACGUCUGGAUCAUUUGCAUAUUGCAUAUUUUCGUCGGACAAGGUCAUUACUUUGAUGCAAGCAAAUAUUGAGGAGCAGAGUCGGCAUUUUUUAAUUGAUGCUACAUUCAAAGUAUGCCCGUUUGGAGAUUUUAAGCAACUACUUAUUAUUUACAUAAAGCAUUUGCAGAAGAUCACCCCAUUCUUAUUUGUCUUAAUGACGCGCAAAACGGAGCUCUGUUAUCAGCAUUUAUUCACCUAUGUAGAUUCAAAUAUUUGUUGCUUAAAAGGGGCAUCAUUUAUUUCCGACUACGAAACAGCGAUGCGGAACGCCUUAAAAAACUUGCAUCCUUCCAUGAAUUUUUAUUCUUGCUGGUUCCAUUUUACUCAAGCAUGCAAGAGAAAUGCAAGAAAAACAUAUGGUCUAGAAAAAAUGCUGAAAUGCAAUAAACCGGCUUAUCUUCUAUUUAUGAAAUUCUUGUACUUGCCGCUAUUACCGGAUACCAAAAUUGUCGAAGCAUUUAAUCUUCUCGAAAUACAAGCAGCUGCUCUAAGCAAGGGGAACUUUUCGCCCUUUUUAAAAUAUUAUAAAAAACAGUGGCUUAUAAAGGAAGGACCUAAAAAUAUUUCAGUUUUUAAACGUUCGACGCGGACCACAGGCUCUGUUGAAGCAUACAAUUUGAAUUUGGGCAACAAAAUACGAGCAAAACGGCACUUUUUUAAAUUUGUUGAAUGCAUCAUAGACGCCGAAUAUGAAAAAAGUCGGGAGUUCGCUCUGCUUUUUCAAAACGGUGGUAUAGGCAAUCAAACGCAACCAAAGCAGCUUCGAGACCGUGCUCAAAAAAUUAUGAACUGUAUGGAGAUGUUCGAGAAAGGCGAAAUCGAUAUUCAGGUGUUCUUGGCACGGACUGUCGGUCUAAAUGAAACAUUUUUAAAACAUCAUCGUCAUCAAGUUCAUCAAAUUUAAGCCAACUCUCGGAUUCGUUAUUUAUACAACAAAAUCCUUGUAAUGUAUGCUUAAUGAAUCUGAAAUCUGUAAUGCUUCGCCCCUGUAACCAUGUCAACAUAUGUAGUACAUGCUGGGUCCAACUUGUCGAUAACCACGAACAAAAUGGAAUUGAAACUAAUCCCAAAUGCCCGACCUGCCAACAGGAAGUCGAAGAGGCUAUAAAAAAUGUAUAUAUAUUAUAUAUAACUAAAUAAAUUUAAACAAUGUAA